AUGGCGCCGCCGGCGGUCCGGUCGUGGGGGGAGCUGCAGCACGACCUCCUUGUGGCGAUUAUGUCCCGCGUGGGCGCCCCCGAUUUACUUUCUGGCGGCGCACCCCGUACCUGCUCUGCGUGGUGGGCCGCCGCUCGCGACCCGCUCGCAUGGCGCCGCGUUGAUCUCCGGGACUGGACAGCCCGGACCUCCGCCCGGCGCGCGGCUGGGUCCGGUGCCACCAGAGGGCGCAUCUCCGUCCAGGCCGCUCUCACCGGCGACCUUGAGGUCGCCGCAACGCGGGCAGAUGGUCGGAUGGAGGCUGUGCUCCUCCCGGAGUUUGCCGAUGAAGGGCACCUCAUGUUCCUCGCCGAGAGGAGCCCAAACCUGCACUAUUUCAGCUUUCCUACCACAUGUGUGACUUCUGAUGACUUCUGUGAGGUGAUCAGCAAACUUCAGUCACUUAAAGGCAUGGCGGUGGAUGAGAGUCUUGUUAAUUAUGAAGUCCUCCUCCAUGUGCACCAGUGUUGCCCAGAUUUUCUGGAGCUGAAAGUGUUUGCUCUCUAUGUGGAUGAAGAUAUGGCCUCCGUAAUUUGCAAGUCCCUUCCGCGGCUGAAGAAGCUCGAGAUACCAAAUUCUGAUAUGUCCUGUGCUGCAAUAGUAAAAUUCCUGGAUUGCCUAGAGGAGCUUGAGUAUCUGGAUAUAUCAGGUUAUGAGACCUCGGCCAUCUCAAGCAGCGUGCUUCAUAAAGCUUCACGGCUCAAGGCCUUUAUCUGGAACUCGAAGUUUGAGCUUGGCGAGUUCAUGGAUUGCUCAAAUUGUGGAGAACACAACAUUAAUCCUCAGGAGCCCUGUAAGUGCACCAUGGAUAACAAAGUCAUGGAUUGGCUGGCUGGGCCAUCGCAAACUGCCUGA
rnacentral:rRNA from 1 species